CCAAAAUAUUAUGGCGGCCAUUACAAUCAAUCAGAGGAACUUGUCUCAUAAUCGAUAAUCCCCGAUUAAUUUCACUAUUCUCUUAACCAAUUAUUUUUAUACCUCCGUCAAAAUUAUUCCUAAAAAAAAAAUUAAAAAAAUCCCUAAAAUUAAAAAGUCAGGUCAAGGUGAAAUAAUCAAUAGAGAAGAUUAGUUACCUAUUAAAAUAAUUAAAAGAAAAUUAUUCAAAACUAAUUAGAAAAAGGAUUUGAAAGUACUUUUUAAACAAAAAUUAAAAACGAAUCCAACUUUUGGUGUACAUAUCGCCCGUCACCCUUAUCCAAAGACAAGGUAAGUCGUAACAAAGUUGAAAUAUUGGAAAAUGUUUCAAGAAAAUCACAGCACCCCGCAUUACAUUUCUAACGAAAC
rnacentral:rRNA from 1 species